AAACAUCUCUAAUAGAAAAAUGUUUUUAGUUUGCCCUGCUCCAUGCUUAUGUAAAUAGCUGCAGUAUUUUGACUGUACAAAGGUAGCAUAAUCACUAGUUUUUUAAUUGAAAGCUUGAAUGAAUGGGUGGACGUAAUAUUAUCUUUAUUAUUUAAAAUUAUUGAAUUUAAUUUCUAAGUUAAAAAGCUUAGUUAUAUUAAAGGGACGAGAAGACCCUAUAGAAUUUAAGGAUUAUUUCUUUUAUUGGGGUAAUAGAAAUAGAACUUUUCUCUUUACUCACUGUUAAGUGAUUUAAAGAUCUUAUAAAUUAGAUUUUUAGAAAAAAUUACCUUAGGGAUAACAGCAUAAUUUUUUUAAAAAGAUCUUAUUAAUGAAAAAGAUUAUGACCUCGAUGUUGAAUUAAAAUUUAUUUUGGCGCAAAAGUUAAACUA
rnacentral:rRNA from 1 species